rnacentral:lncRNA from 1 species
UCAGAAUUUGGAAGGGAUUGUUCCUGUGUGUUCUAGGUUCCAAGGUUGCUGUUGAGACAUCUGAUAUCAUUCUGACUUAUGGUCCCUCUCACAUCAUUUUUGGUUUCUCUCUGAAAAUUUUUAGAAUUUUUUUUAAUGCCAGGUGUUCUGAAAAUUGUUGGUGAUUUGUCCUAGUGAAUUCCAUGAGGCCAAGGGCCGUGUUUGCUUUAUUAACUUCUAAACACCAUAUCCAACAUUUCAGAAAUGUUUGUUGAAUAAAUUAAUGAAGAAUGACAUGGAAAGGAAAGGUGGAAAUGUACUAUAAGCAUAAAGGAAUGGCAUGUGUGAAAGAUCAGGUGGGAGAAAUAAAGAGUCAUUGAAACAGAUGCCAGUUGAAAUUGAUUGUGCUACUUACCUUCAGUUUCCUAAGCUGGAAAUACAGUAUUUCCUCAACUUUUGUAAGAUAUGAUGCUGCUGCUGAGACAAUGUUUGAGACU